AGGAGGAACAACUGCAGUGGCGGGGCGUGCUCUGGAGCCCUGGAGUCAGUUCCCGCAGUAGCUAAGGAGCUCUCGGUCUGCAGGGCCUGGAGCUCUGGGGCGGG
rnacentral:pre_miRNA from 1 species